AGUGGAUUUCUGUUAAUAAUUUAUAUAUAAUAUUUGAUUAAUAUUUAUAUAAUAUUAACAUAAUUCAUAUUACUAAAUUUAUUAGUAUAUGAAAUUUUACUUUGAGAAAAUUAGAGUGCUUAAAGCAGGCAUAUGCCUUGAAUACUCCAGCAUGGAAUAAUAUUAAAGAUUUUUAUCUUUCUUAUUGGUUCUAAGAUAAAAAUAAUGAUUAAUAGGGACAGUUGGGGGCAUUUGUAUUUAACAGUCAGAGGUGAAAUUCUUAGAUUUGUUAAAGACAAACUAAUGCGAAAGCAUUUGCCAAGGAUGUUUUCAUUAAUCAAGAACGAAAGUUAGGGGAUCGAAGACGAUCAGAUACCGUCGUAGUCUUAACCAUAAACUAUGCCAACUAGAGAUUGGAGGUUGUUCCUUACUCCUUCAG
rnacentral:rRNA from 1 species